UGCAGUACUUCACCCGAUGACGUCACGCAAGCUGGCUCGUGUCACCAUAGCAACUACAGACGAAGAGGAAAGAGGUCGUGUUACACAUCAGUGUGUAUGUGGAAGUGCAGAAUCAACAACAUAUCAAUGGAAGAACACCCGGAUCCCUCAAGCUACAUAAAAGUCUUUCUUUGAAUUGUGUGUUCCUUUCACCAAGAAUAUAAACUUUAA
rnacentral:lncRNA from 1 species